AGCUCGAUACAUUGGUACGGUACGAAAUUUCAAUCCUUAGUUUUAAUCACUAUCACAAGCAUGUCUUCUAUGUGUUGUCAAAUGACUAACAGUACAAUUGUAUGUUCCAUUACAUGAUUAAAAUCAUUUGCAACUGAUAUAAAAUAUUUUCAGCAAGAUACCCCUAGUCCUUUUUCUAUGACCAGUAAUACAACACAGAAACUCUUUUCCCCCGUAAUCAACACUAGCAGAUUGCUAGUGACUGGGGAUAAAAUAAGCAAUAUAUAUCUUUGAUUAGAUAAAUAGCUCAGUUCGUAUAUGAUUUAUCAAGUCUCUUUUCUUAUUGCACUUGGUCUUGUUUCUAUUUACUAGGGGCUCUCUAGAUAAACUACUGUGGUAUUUGUGGACCGAUCAUAUAUUGGAAAAAUAGAAGUUUUCUGUUGAUCAAAUUAUUGCACCUGAUAGAUCCUGUCAAAUAUAUGCAUAGGGAGAUCAUGGGGAGUGUAAUUUGUGAGGAUGUUGGGUUUUGUUUCUCUUCGCUAUUUUUGUUUGAAAUAUUGGAAGUUACUCAGAUUUGACUCUGUUUCAUGCUUCUUUGUAAUCUGUGUAUGGUUUUGUAAAUUUGUGGUUGCUGAAGCUCUAUGCAGAGAGAUGAGGGGUUUGGAGUUAAACCCUAGGAUUAUAUCCAGUUUGUAGGUAGUUUCCAUUAAUCCUAAUUUCUCAGUUUGGUAGUGGCUUUGAAUCAGGUUUGAGCUCAUGUAAGAUGAUCACUGUGCCUUGAAAUGCUUGGAAAUCAUGUGAGCUCAUGCUGUGGAAUGUCGAGUGCAGGAGAUGAUGGGACAUGCUUCCGCUGAUGGCAAGGAAUUGCUGAUGAGCUUAUCAGGCCUCGGAGCUCAAAGUUCAUUGUCGCAGGUAGUGGUUGAGUGGAGGAUCUCAACAAUGUCUGGUGAUAUGCAUCCAGGGAACUUUCCUGAGAGCAAUCUUUUCUUUUGAUUCAGUGAGUGCUGAUGAAGUUGUCAUUCUCCCAAUUUUUGCUGAUGAUUCGCCUUUUAUUCCAGGUACCAGAUCAUUCAAUUUAGGAGUGGGUGCAAAGCCACUCGAGCAGACAAACAUUUGAGGAGAAAUGAGAUCGACUUCUGCUUGAUCAUAUCACAAUUAUCCGAGAACAAAUCUUCUUGAGGAGAAAUGAGAUUGACUUCUGCUUGAUCAUAUCACAAUUAUCUGAGAACAAGUGUUUCACCCUGCUUAAGAUGAUCUUCAUAUUCAGUGACAAUUCAGCCUUUUCCCACUUAGUCUGAAUCAUCCAAGCCAGAAGGGUGAUUAAGGAAUCCGAUGUCGUGUUUAGUCCUCGAUGCCAAUAACUUAAAUAGCUCCUGCAGCUUGAUCACCUCUUCAGGUGUGAAGCCCAUCAGAUUUUGCAAGGAACAAAUGUUCUUUGAUGAAUCACUACUCUGUUCACCUUCCUUCGGUUCGUCGUUACUGUUUGUCCCGAUUGCAAGUAAUAUUUGAAGUGAGUCACUGUUUUCUUUGUGAAGUUUAGGAGAACUGGUAUCUGAAGGAGGACAAAAGAAUAAAUAAAUAAUCGACACAUAUUAAUUAGAUUAGAAACAAAAAGGAGAGGAAAAAAGGGUUUGGACUGUGUCAAGUUAUCAAACGAUUCACACUAUAAAUUAGUAGAGUCUAUACAAGUCCAUGGUCCUUUGAAAUGUGAGUUUCAUCUAGUUCUAUGAUUUGCAUUCCAUGGCUGGGAGGACUACAAUUGCAUUUCAUAUUCAUUGUACCUUGGAAGUUUCCAUGUGAGUUAUGUCUGGUUCUAUGAUUUGCAUUCCAUGGC